GGCCACAUUCAUUAUACUUGAUGAUCUCUCCACUAGAUUUUCUUAGAACCCAUUUUUCUUACAAGUAGCAUAACCAUCAAAUCCUACUCUAAAGAUUCCAUUGACUUAUACAGAUUUCCUAAGUGUUCCAUAAAUGGGAAAAUGGUUCUCUCUUUUUAGCUCUAGACUAGCUCAAAUCCCCCAUCGCAAUUUCUUUGGCAUGAUCACAAGUUGCGGCCGAUGGAGUCCAUUUCUGUUGGAUCCAACUGUGGUUAUUGGGUGACAAAGAACUUCCUCAACUUGAGGAGCCAAGAGGCAACCCCACCUUUCAAUCGUGUGGAACACUGAAACUGAUAAGUGAAUA
rnacentral:lncRNA from 1 species